GGGGGCGACCUGGUUUCGACGUGGGUUGCAAAACCUUAGGUGCAUGCCGAGGCGCAGACAACCUCGUUAAUCCAGCUGCAAACCUUAUAGUUGCCAACAACGACAACUACGCACUCGCCGCUUAAACCCCGGUAGAGUGCCGUCUGACCGGGGCCGUGCUUGUGCGUCCGGAGUCCUUCGGGACACUCAGGCGUCGAUUCUCACAAGAUCGCGGUGAAGCUUGUCCCGAGCCGAUCCGCUAAAACCUUAGGGACUCGCCGUCAGUUUUCCCUGCCCAUCGGGUAGCUGGCGGUUAAAUCAAUAGAUUGGGAUAAGCAUGUAGAGCCGAAGGCGGAGAGCUUGCGGACGCGGGUUCGAUUCCCGCCGCCUCCACCA
rnacentral:tmRNA from 1 species